CCUACGGGUGGCAGCAGUGAGGAAUAUUGGUCAAUGGGCGCGAGCCUGAACCAGCCAAGUAGCGUGAAGGAUGACUGCCCUACGGGUUGUAAACUUCUUUUAUAAAGGAAUAAAGUGAGGCACGUGUGCCUUUUUGUAUGUACUUUAUGAAUAAGGAUCGGCUAACUCCGUGCCAGCAGCCGCGGUAAUACGGAGGAUUCGAGCGUUAUCCGGAUUUAUUGGGGUUAAAGGGAGCGUAGAUGGGUUGGUAAGUCAGUUGUGAAAGUUUGCGGCUCAACCGUAAAAUUGCAAUUGAUACUGGCAGCCUUGAGUGCAGUUGAGGUAGGCGGAAUUCGUGGUGUAGCGGUGAAAUGCUUAGAUAUCACGAAGAACUCCGAUUGCGAAGGCAGCUUACUAACCUGCCACUGACGUUGAUGCUCGAAAGUGUGGGUAUCAAACAGGAUUAGAUACCCUAGUAGUC
rnacentral:rRNA from 1 species